rnacentral:rRNA from 1 species
AGAGCCAUGGCGGUAUGCCUAACACAUGCAAGUCGAACGGAAUCGAAAGAUAUAGUGGCGGACGGGUGAGUAACGCGUGAGAAUCUGCCUCCAGAAUGGGGACAACAGUUGGAAACGACUGCUAAUACCCAAUGAGCCUUAGGGUAAAAGAUUUAUCGUCUGGAGAGGAGCUCGCGUCCGAUUAGCUAGUUGGUGGGGUAAAAGCUUACCAAGGCAGCGAUCGGUAGCUGGUCUGAGAGGAUGAGCAGCCACACUGGGACUGAGACACGGCCCAGACUCCUACGGGAGGCAGCAGUGGGGAAUUUUCCGCAAUGGGCGCAAGCCUGACGGAGCAAUACCGCGUGAGGGAGGAAGGCUUUUGGGUUGUAAACCUCUUUUCUCAAGGAAGAACUCAAUGACGGUACUUGAGGAAUCAGCAUCGGCUAACUCCGUGCCAGCAGCCGCGGUAAUACGGAGGAUGCAAGCGUUAUCCGGAAUUAUUGGGCGUAAAGCGUCCGCAGGUGGUUAUUCAAGUCUGCUGUCAAAGACCACAGCUUAACUGUGGGCAGGCAGUGGAAACUGGGUAACUAGAGUACGGUAGGGGUAGAGGGAAUUUCCAGUGUAGCGGUGAAAUGCGUAGAGAUUGGAAAGAACACCAGUGGCGAAGGCGCUCUACUGGGCCGUAACUGACACUCAGGGACGAAAGCUAGGGGAGCGAAAGGGAUUAGAUACCCCUGUAGUCCUAGCGGUAAACGAUGGAUACUAGGCGUUGCUUGUAUCGACCCGAGCAGUGCCGUACCCACGCGUUAAGUAUCCCGCCUGGGAGUACGCACGCAAGUGUGAAACUCAAUGAUUGACGG